rnacentral:rRNA from 1 species
UUGAGUUUGAUCAUGGCUCAGGACGAACGCUGGCGGCGUGCCUCAUACCUGCAAGUCGAGCGAGGGUAGCAAUACCCUAGCGGCGGACCCGUGAGUAACACGUGGGCAACCUGCCUCAGAGACAGGGAUAACACUCCGAAAGGAGUGCUAAUACCUGGUAAGCUCACAGGGCCACAUGGUCUGGUGAGAAAAGGAGCAAUCCGCUUUGAGAUGGGCCCGCGUCCCAUUAGCUAGUUGGUAGGGUAACGGCCUACCAAGGCGACGAUGGGUAGCCGACCUGAGAGGGUGAUCGGCCACACUGGAACUGAGAGACGGUCCAGACUCCUACGGGAGGCAGCAGUAGGGAAUCUUCCGCAAUGGGCGAAAGCCUGACGGAGCAACGCCGCGUGAUUUUUUUUUGCCUUCGGGUCGUAAAGCUCUGUCUUCAGUGACGAAUGAGACGGUAACUGAGGAGGAAGCCACGGCAAACUACGUGCCAGCAGCCGCGGUA